AUUGAACGCUGGCGGCAGGCCUAACACAUGCAAGUCGGGCGAGUGGCGGACGGGUGAGUAAUGUAUGGGGAUCUGCCUGAUGGCGGGGGAUAACUACUGGAAACGGUAGCUAAUACCGCAUACCAUCAGAUGAACCCAUAUGGGAUUAGCUUGUAGGUGAGGUAACGGCUCACCGAGGCGACGAUCCCUAGCUGGUCUGAGAGGAGGACCAGCCAAACUGGGACUGAGACACGGCCCAGACUCCUACGUGAGGCAGCAGUUGGGAAUAUUGCACAAUGGGCGCAAGCCUGAUGCAGCCAUGCCGCGUGUAUGAAGAAGGCCUUCGGGGUGUAAAGUACUUUCAGGCGGGAUGCGUUACCGUCAGAAGAAGCACCGGCUAACUCCGUGCCAGCAGCCGCGGUAAUUC
rnacentral:rRNA from 1 species